rnacentral:lncRNA from 1 species
GGCAGAGGUAAAUUUUCCAGCACUUCGGCUGACAAAUUCCGUGUCAACAUAGCUCUCAAGAAUUUGUAUUACUACUUGGCAAUGACUUAUAUGAUGAUGUAUAACAACUUAAGGGGUUUUUAAAAUGCAGUAUUUUGACUAAUGUGGUUUGGUAAAUAGCGUUUGUGAUUAGCCCUUUUUCUUCUUCUCCCCCCAGUUUCUGUAAUACUGACAAAAGCCUGUAAUAAUAAUGAAAACUACCUCUCCAAAUGGAAAAUGCUCCACUCCAUCACCACCAGUUCCUGGGAGCACUCCAGGAUGUGCGCAGAGCACAGACUCAGCAGCUCUACUAGCCUCAGAUUCACGCUAUUUUACUCACUGCUUGGCCCUUGGGUCAUCCAGCGAAGGCAGCUUCUCCAGCACAGUCAGCCCC